rnacentral:rRNA from 1 species
AGAGUUUGAUUCUGGCUCAGGAGAAACGCUGGCGGCGCACAUAAGACAUGCAAGUCGAACGGAAUCCAGCCAAAUGUUUACCAUGAGGCGAAGAUUUAGUGGCGGACGGGUGAGUAACACGUGAGCAACCACCUUAAGGAGGGGGAUAACAUUGAGAAAUCAGUGCUAAUACCGCAUAACACUACGAGAGGACAUCCUCAUGUAGUCAAAGGAGAAAUCCACCUAAAGAUGGGCUCACGGCUGAUUAGCCAGUUGGCGGGGUAACGGCCCACCAAAGCGAUGAUCAGUAGCCGAGCUGAGAGGCUCAACGGCCACAUUGGGACUGAGACACGGCCCAGACUCCUACGGGAGGCAGCAGUCGGGAAUAUUGCACAAUGGAGGAAACUCUGAAUGCAGUGACGCCGCGUAUAGGAUGAAGGUCUUUGGAUUGUAAACUAUUGUCGACAGGGAAGAAAAAAUGACAGUACCUGUGGAGGAAGCUCCGGCUAACUACGUGCCAGCCGCCGC